UGGGGAAUAUUGCACAAUGGGGGAAACCCUGAUGCAGCGACGCCGCGUGAGCGAAGAAGGUUUUCGAAUCGUAAAGCUCUGUCCUAUGAGAAGAUAAUGACGGUAUCAUAGGAGGAAGCCCCGGCUAAAUACGUGCCAGCAGCCGCGGUAAUACGUAUGGGGCGAGCGUUGUCCGGAAUUAUUGGGCGUAAAGGGUACGUAGGCGGUCUAUUAAGUCAGGUGUGAAAGCGUGAGGCUUAACCUCAUUAAGCACUUGAAACUGAUAGACUUGAGUGAAGGAGAGGAAAGUGGAAUUCCUAGUGUAGCGGUGAAAUGCGUAGAUAUUAGGAGGAAUACCGGUGGCGAAGGCGACUUUCUGGACUUUUACUGAUGCUCAGGUACGAAAGCGUGGGGAGCAAACAGG
rnacentral:rRNA from 1 species